rnacentral:rRNA from 1 species
GAUGAACGCUGGCGGCGUGCUUAACACAUGCAAGUCGAGCGGAAAGGCCCUUUCGGGGGUACUCGAGCGGCGAACGGGUGAGUAACACGUGAGUAAUCUGCCCUUCACUCUGGGAUAGCCCUCCGAAAGGGGGAUUAAUACCGGAUACGACCAUGGUACGCAUGUGCUUGUGGUGGAAAGGUUUUCUGGUGGGGGAUGUGCUCGCGGCCUAUCAGCUUGUUGGUGGGGUAAUGGCCUACCAAGGCUUCGACGGGUAGCCGGCCUGAGAGGGUGACCGGCCACACUGGGACUGAGACACGGCCCAGACUCCUACGGGAGGCAGCAGUGGGGAAUAUUGGACAAUGGGCGGAAGCCUGAUCCAGCAACGCCGCGUGAGGGAUGACGGCCUCGGUUGUAA